GCGACUACAUAACCCAGGAUGCAAAGGACCUCAACUUUGCCCCGCGUCUGACGCCUUCUGAUGACUGGUGCUCCUUGCUAAAGAGAUCCGAGGGGUGGACAAUGCUUCCGCUGGGAACCCGCACAGCCUCUCGGACCGUGACAUUUCGAAAGACGAAGGAAAGUAGACGAGCAUCACCCUGUCUCUAAGUUAGAGUAGUUUGUGCGCAGGGUGGCAAUGCAUUAACGAGCUCCCUUCCGUAUUUUUUUGUUUCCCGGAGGCAAUGACCAGCCAGUCCCCAUAGGUCGAACACCUCGAAGGCUUAUGUCUUCGAGUCCCAAAUCGAAGUUCCCAACGUCUAACCAUUGGCUUACACCCGGGUGCGCAGGCGCCCAGAC
rnacentral:lncRNA from 1 species